UUUCUUUUGUUACCAGAGUUGAAGAAGUAUCUACAAGUGUAAGAUUAAGACUUGAACCCAAGGGAAAGAUCAAGUUUUGCUUCUAACCUGGGAGAAAGAUAUCCCACCUUUCAAUCAUGUGUUGGAACUCUGCUUGUGGACAUCUAUUGGGCUCUGGAUUUAGAGCCUCAGCUUCUGAUAGGAGUCUUCUGCCUAGAACAUUUAUCUUGCUGGAUCUUCCUUGGGAGCCUUACCAAGGAGCAGCUGAGAAUGGAAGCCGGGGUCCUGGGCUUUCAGCCAUCCUUCAAACACUGCUGGCCUGAGACAUGCUUAACUGAAGGAUGAAGAUGAAUACCAUGAAAGCUCUAAGGAGGAGGAAAGAGGAUGCAAAGAGUGGGAGGGUCUUCUCCUCUGCACUGACUUAAGGUGGCUGGUGCACCACCUUAAGUUUCAUAGUUGCUUCUUCAACAAGCCACUUUGAAGUUGUGUGCUUCCUUUAUUCAGGGGAGUCAGAGUGGCUGACGCUGGGAUGUACAGCAGAGCAAACAAAGGAUCCACUUGAAAAAAAUUGCAGGAGAAGACUUGAUGGGUGUGUGUUUGCACAGAUAUAGGGAGGAUGUGGGGGGUGAGAUAGAAGCACCCACCAACCAACAAAAAUCCUGAGGAUCCUACUCUUGCAUUUUAUCUUCUUGAAACAAUGAUUAAUUUUAUGAUGGAAUUCUAUUCCCUGUGUUUUUCUUAAAUGGAACUUGCUCAUCAUUUGGGUUCUAAGAGGUCUCCAUUUUAUUUUUUAAAUUUUAUUUCAGAAGGAUAUACCCAGCCAGUAGUAAAAAUGUCUCCUUUCUUUGGGUUGGAUCCCCUAUCCAACAUACACACACCAGCUAUUGCAUCUCUUUCUUCACCUGGACCAUGGGCUUCCCUUUCAUGCUGUUCUGGGCAGUGCAGAUGAAAAAAUAGUCACCCUGGGCUUGUGGGCUCUUGAAGGGCUGGGACUGGAUCUUGCUCCUCCCUGUGUUCCCUGACCUGAUGCCAGGUGGACUGCACACAGCCGCUGCUUUUACACAGAUUCUACAUGGUCAGUAAUACUUUGCUAAAUGAAGACUGUUCUGGUAAACUUCUUAAAAUGUGUUUCCUGGACCCAGCAAAGAGAAAAGCAAGAAUGUUUAUGGUAUCCUUUAGACGGUGCAACUACUUUUUAAAUCACGAUCAAUUUUCUUCCAUCCAUAGAUUAAAAAACCAUUAGAACCUCAUUGUCCAAUUAAUUAAUAAAAACGUAAGAUAUAAAAAUUUUUCCUGAAAUAAUUAGUAAGAAAGUGCUGAAACAGACAUAUUUGAUGUCUUCAAAAUAGAAAAUACAGUGUGCUUGGUGAAAACAGAGCUUCAGAGUUCUCAGGGUGAGUCUUUUGAGGAUGGGACUCUGCUGAAAGCCUUAGAGGAGCGACAGCCAGUUAAAGAUCUGGUCUCAUAAUAGCCUUGCAAGUCUAGAAAGUUCAGUUUGGUGCCACUAAAGGAAUAAUUGAGGCCUGGAACUUGUGUUUGUGAUCAAACUCACCUAACACUCCUUUGUAUACAAAAUCAAAUACACAGAGGUUCCCUGACUUACAAUGGUUCAACAUGUGAUUGUAGAAGAAUGAUAUGCAUUAGGUUAGAAAUUGCCCUUCAAAUUUUGAGUUUUGAUCUUUUCUGGCUAGUGAUAUGCAGUACAACACUUUCUUAAGCCACAGUUUUUGAAUAGUUACACAAUCAUGAAGGUAAACAACCAAUACUCCAUACUGUACCAUGUUGCUAAGCUAUGAUGUUUGGUAGGUUACCUGUAUUAAAUGCAUUUUUGAUUUGCUAUAUUUUUAACAUGAUUUUUUUUCUGGUCCCAAGCAUUUUAUUUUUUUUUUAUUUGUUCUUACUAGCUAUCCAUGAUAGUAGAACAUAUUAUGCAUAUAUGCUGUAUAACUUCU